GCCCUGGUGGUGUAGUGGUUUAAGCAUUUGGCUGCUAACCAAAACAUCAGCAGUUCAAAUCCACCAGUGCU
rnacentral:tRNA from 1 species